CAAUUUCUCUGGUAAACUGCAAAUAAUGAAAGUGAAUCCAAGACAAAGAAAUCCUUAGAAGCCCAAGGAAAGCCAGAAGCCCAGAAGGAAAAUCUGUGAAGGAAAGUA